rnacentral:rRNA from 1 species
AUUGAGCGCUGGCGGCAGGCCUAACACAUGCAAGUCGAACGAGUGGCGGACGGGUGAGUAAUGUCUGGGAAACUGCCUGAUGGAGGGGGAUAACUACUGGAAACGGUAGCUAAUACCGCAUACCAUCGGAUGUGCCCAGAUGGGCUUAGCUAGUAGGUGGGGUAACGGCUCACCUAGGCGACGAUCCCUAGCUGGUCUGAUAGGAUGACCAGCCAAACUGGAACUGAGACACGGUCCAGACUCCUACGGGAGGCAGCAGGGGGGAAUAUGGCACAAUGGGCGCAAGCCGGAUGCAGCCAUGCCGCGUGUAUGAAGAAGGCCUUCGGGUUGUAAAGUACUUUCAGCGGGGAGGCGUUACCCGCAGAAGAAGCACCGGCUAACUCCGUGCCAGAAGCCGCGGUAAUGC